GAUGAAGAACGUAGCGAAAUGCGAUACGUAAUGUGAAUUGCAGAAUUCAGUGAAUCAUCGAGUCUUUGAACGCACAUUGCGCCCUCUGGUAUUCCGGAGGGCAUGCCUGUCCGAGCGUCAUCGCUGCCCUCAAGCACGGCUUGUGUGUUGGGCCCCGCCCCCCGAUCCCGGGGGGCGGGCCCGAAAGGCAGCGGCGGCACCGCGUCCGGUCCUCGAGCGUAUGGGGCUUUGUCACCCGCUCUGUAGGCCCGGCCGGCGCCUGCCGAUCAACCAAACUUUUUUCCAGGUUGACCUCGGAUCAGGUAGGGAUACCCGCUGAACUUAAGCAUAUCAAUAAGCGGAGGA
rnacentral:misc_RNA from 1 species